CUUUCUUUCUUUUCCUCUGUCAUUCUCCUUCCUAUCUUCUUUUUCUUCUCUCCUCACUUUCCCUUUUUCUUUUUUUAUUUCUCUUAAAACCCUAGGGUCAUAGAAGGAUGUGGGAUUGAGGGAAAAGGAAUUGCAGGAGGAAACUCAUUUCUCUUUGUGAUGCAACUGUCUCUGUUUGGGAGUGUGACGGCAACGGCGUUCUCUUCACGACAAUGGAGUUGCGACUUCUUCACGUUUGUGGUGAUUUGGGGUUUAGGGUUUCAAAGAGGAUUUCCUUCCACGUCUCGUGAUCUUGAGUGUUGCCGUGAAGAAGAAGAGUUUUAGCAAUCGAGUGGGUGGCCUUUUCAGCUUCUACUAGUGGCAUGCCUCUCUUCAUGUCCCGUUCUUAUUGGACCUGCUUCGAACUCAACUCCAUCUUUGCUCCCAAAACGAUUCAAAGAAUGGAGCUUUGGGUCAUGUCCAAUCUCAAAUGGAGACUUUGCUCCAUCAUGCCCUAUGAUUAUCUUAACCAUUUCAUCACCAAGCUCCAUUCCUCCUCUUCCUCUGAAUCCACAAAGCAUUGUUUUCUCUCACGAACCCUGGUAUGAAGUCUGAUUUCGAAUUGGCAAUUACACAGAAAGGUUAAUUUAGAUUCUUUUGACCACUUUGUCCUUA